rnacentral:rRNA from 1 species
GCAAGUCGAACGGUAGAGAGGUGCUUGCACCUCUUGAGAGUGGCGAACGGGUGAGUAACACGUAGAUAAUCUGCCUUGAAGUUGGGGAUAGCUCAUGGAAACAUGGGGUAAUACCGAAUAAUAUUAUUCCUGUAUUGGGAAUACUGAAAGGGGCUAAGGCCUCGCUUUAGGAUGAGUCUGCGGUUCAUUAGCUAGUUGGUGGGGUAAAGGCCUACCAAGGCGACGAUGAAUAGCCGGCCUGAGAGGGUGACC